GCGGGCGUAGCUCAAUGGUAGAGCGCAACCCUUCCAAGGUUGAUGUUGCAGAUUCGAAUUCUGUCGCCCGCU
rnacentral:tRNA from 1 species